rnacentral:hammerhead_ribozyme from 1 species
AUCCAGCUGACCAGUCUCAAAUAGGACGAAAUGCGCAUCUUGGAU